rnacentral:lncRNA from 1 species
AGAAAGACUAUUAUAACUUUGAGAACUACAGAGCGACACUCUAUCUCAGUAAAGCAAAAACUACAAAAGAAAGCCCCAGUGUCUUCUGCAGCAACAUUCCUGUGUGAGGCUCACCCAGGCUUGGGAACAUUUGAGAGCUGUCUCAAGAACAGAGUGAUGUCUGGAGAGUAAUACUGGAAGCUCGCUUGGUCUGGAUGUCAUUGAGAAUCUACUGCAGUUCCUCAUUUUCAAGAAACCCUCCCAGACUUGGAAUCAGAGCUUUGGACUCUUCAGCAGUCUCUGGGCAAAGAUUUGCUAAACAGGCCAACUCAAACUUUAUGCAGCCUUUUCUGGAGAAGCAAGUGACGAACACUGGCAAUGGUCUCUCUGAAACGGGCGUAUAGUUUAGGGUUUUCAUGACGACCUCUGAAAGCUCCUGCUCAUUCUCUGCACUCUCAUUCUGCUGCCUUCGACGCUCCAGAAGCAGGAGCACUUCAGAGUUUAGGAGAGUCUCUGUUGUUUCAAACUCUUUGGCAAAGACGAGCCGGGACACAUCUUCUACAUUGCCAGCCUGCUCAUUGCUUCUACCUGCCACCAUUGUAUAGGAUGGACCGCCACCCGUUCUCGCUCCUUUUAAAAGUUACUUUUGCAUCUGUUCUUUGCUGAUCUUAAUUCCAGUGGAGAAGGUAUGUCUCAGAUGUACCUCAGAAGCUGAGGAGUCAGCCAUGGCAGAAGGAAAAGGGUUAAGCAAAGUGGUCACUUCUGCAUAAACAUUCAAUUUGAGCAGGCUCACCAAGACUAGACUAUGAUUGGGAGAAGGACAGCCGGAGUCUCAUCCUAAGAAGACCAGGCCUCCCUCAACGCCUUCUAGUCUUGCCUCUGGUUUCUAAGGAUGUUGGUUUGGACCUUAUGAGAGUGGAUAAAACUGAGUCUGAGU